rnacentral:tRNA from 1 species
GGAAGGGUACAGCUCAAGUGGUAGAGCAUAUGUUUAGCAUGCAUGAGGGUCCUGGGCUCAAUCCCCAGUACCUCCC